rnacentral:rRNA from 1 species
AACGAACGCUGGCGGCAGGCUUAACACAUGCAAGUCGAACGCGUGUAGCAAUACACGAGUGGCGCACGGGUGAGUAACGCGUGGAUAUCUGCCUUUUGGUUCGGAAUAACUCCGGGAAACUGGAGCUAGUACCGGAUGGUUCCUUCGGGAUAAAGAUUUAUCGCCAAAAGAUGAGUCCGCGUACGAUUAGCUAGUUGGUGAGGUAAUGGCUCACCAAGGCGACGAUCGUUAGCUGGUCUGAGAGGACGAUCAGCCACACUGGGACUGAGACACGGCCCAGACUCCUACGGGAGGCAGCAGUGGGGAAUAUUGGACAAUGGGGGCAACCCUGAUCCAGCCAUGCCGCGUGAGUGAUGAAGGCCUUCGGGUUGUAAAGCUCUUUUGGCGGGGACGAUGAUGACGGUACCCGCAGAAUAAGCCCCGGCUAACUCCGUGCCAGCCGCCGCCGUAACAC